AAAGAGAGUCCAGACCAGAAGGAUCCACUGCAACAACCAACCAUGCUAGGGGGGAGAGGUUGGAUUGCCUUGACCCUGCAGUGAAGAAGAGUCACCCCAUAACCUGAGGCCUACCUUGAAAGAUGUGAAUGCCUGUCUGAAGCAGCAGAAUGUGGAACCUUUGCCAAGCAGCCUUAAAUAGGUAUAAUCUUUUGUCCUUUCUCUUUCAUUGCUUUAGAACUGUACUAAUCUUUUGUCAGUUUCUUUUAUUGCUAGGGGUACAGAGGAUGGAUGGACAGAUGGCAACCACCAACACACUGAGGAGGAGACCAUUGCCAGGAUACAGGGUAUCCACAAUGUCAACAGGCCAACAUUGGCC